ACCAUAUUUUCUGGAAUCAAAGAAUGUAGGUCAGUUUCGGAAAAGGAUUUCCCAAGGUUUGGAACCAUUGCGGCUGGGAUGAUGUCACAGAAUGACUGACAGAGUUGCCUAGAGCAAGACUCGUCAGCAGAGUCCUGGGUAGGUCAUGCUGCUGAGAUUCUCCUAAUGGAAGAAAGGAGGGGCUGCUGUGGUGGCACCAUAAUUUCACUGUACUCCCUGUUCUGUCUUCUGCAUUCCGCUAACAGUUAUUGAGCAUCCACUCGGUGAUCAGCACCGUGACGACAGCAGGAACCCGGCGCCGGCAGCUUCCAUGUACAGUAACCUGGAGAGCUGAAAAGUACACAUAAUGCUGCGACAGGUUUCAUUUUCUUACAUCCAUACCACUUAACAGCCAGGUGAUGGUGAACCCAGUUAGCAUCUCUGCCCCAGGUUCAUUCGACUGUGAAGGAAAAACUGAAAAAUCCUCCGUCUCUUAAGAUUUUUUGUGAAGAUUGAAGGCGUUAACCAUGUGUGCUUCUUUGAGUGGGGAAAGGGAGCCAAGUGGUUAGUUAUCACGAACAUCCCUGGAAAAGAUUCUUCUGAGGCACCUGUCUGAAGCACUAGGAGGAAAUGCCACAGCCCAUGUGGCCACUGGUUGCCACACAAUUUGAUUCUCUACUCUUGGGAGGGAAUAAAUCAUUUUAGGGAUGGGAACCAGAGGCUAAAACAAAACGAAUUCCCAAACUCAUGGCAGAGCAGAUGCAGUCCUCUGACUCCAGGACUCAUUUCCUUCCCACUUCAACACAUUGACAGGGCAACUGAUGUAGAAGCUCCUCAAUGAAAUUCUAGAAUCAACCGCAGAUUUGAGUGUUAUCUGGGUUGGCCUUUGACUCCAGAUUUGUUGGAGUUUUUCUUCUUUCUUUAAAAGAUUUUAUUUAUUCAUGACAGACACACAGAGAGAGGCAGAGACAGGCAGAGGGAGAAGCAGGCUCCCUGCGGGGAGCCUGAUGUGGUCUCAA